GCAACUGCCUCGGUGAUGCUGUGGUCAUGUCACAGCAGGCAGAACAUUGGCAGUUCCCUGUUUCACACAGGCACUGGUGACUUGGUUGGUGUAGGGAGAUCAUGGAAAGAGCUGCAACCCCUGUCCCAGCCCAGACCAGCAGAAAGCAGGAUGGUGAUCAGUGGCAGAGGCACUGGUGACUUGGUUGGCGUAGGGAGAUCAUGGAAAGAGCUGCAACCUUCUGCCAGCUGAGGCCAUUGGAUAGUUGGAGGAUGGUGAAACACUGUGAUGAGAAGACAUGAAGCACAGUGAGAGAGGGAAAUGAAUGGUUAUACCUCUCUGGGCUGGGAGCCACAGGUACCUCCUCCCCACACCCUCUUCAGCCACUCGGACUGAGGUUUCUGCAGCCAUCUGUGAAGGCAUGAACCUAAGGACCAGAAAACACAGCCCCAGACUGUACCUCACCAUGGCCUCACAGACAGAUGGAGACUCCCAACAGCUCUGGACAAGUGAAGAUCUACACCACCUGCUUUCUCACAAUAAAAUCAUCUGAUUCAUAAAUGCAUUAGCUGGUUCUCCUGCUUGUAUUGUCUCUUUGAGAAAUCUUGUGGGACUUUCCUUGUUAUCCUGAUUUUCUUAGUGAUCUGUAUAAAUAUAAUGUUUACUCUGAGCAGCUGUUCCCUGCAGCCCAUGGACACCACAGGGAGCAGGUCUGUAUGUGCAGCCAUGGAUGAGCCCACAGCGCAGCAGUGGAUGAGGCCUGGAGGAGGAACAGCUCAUGGAUACCCCUGCAGGAGCAGCCCCAGGCCAGAGCUGCAGCACCUGGAGAAGAGCCCAUGGUGGGCCAGGAGGGCUGGGGAAGCUGCUGCCCAUGGGGAUGUGCUGGAGCAGUGCCUGAAGGGUGGGCCCAUGGGAUGGAGACAUGCUGGAGCAAUGCUGGGAGAGCUGCAGCUUGUGGGACGCCCACAUGGGAUCAAGUGAGGAAGGAUG
ensembl:lncRNA